rnacentral:rRNA from 2 species
UGCAAGUCGAGCGAACGGACGAGAAGCUUGCUUCUCUGAUGUUAGCGGCGGACGGGUGAGUAACACGUGGAUAACCUACCUAUAAGACUGGGAUAACUUCGGGAAACCGGAGCUAAUACCGGAUAAUAUUUUGAACCGCAUGGUUCAAAAGUGAAAGACGGUCUUGCUGUCACUUAUAGAUGGAUCCGCGCUGCAUUAGCUAGUUGGUAAGGUAACGGCUUACCAAGGCAACGAUGCAUAGCCGACCUGAGAGGGUGAUCGGCCACACUGGAACUGAGACACGGUCCAGACUCCUACGGGAGGCAGCAGUAGGGAAUCUUCCGCAAUGGGCGAAAGCCUGACGGAGCAACGCCGCGUGAGUGAUGAAGGUCUUCGGAUCGUAAAACUCUGUUAUUAGGGAAGAACAUAUGUGUAAGUAACUGUGCACAUCUUGACGGUACCUAAUCAGAAAGCCACGGCUAACUACGUGCCAGCAGCCGCGGUAAUACGUAGGUGGCAAGCGUUAUCCGGAAUUAUUGGGCGUAAAGCGCGCGUAGGCGGUUUUUUAAGUCUGAUGUGAAAGCCCACGGCUCAACCGUGGAGGGUCAUUGGAAACUGGAAAACUUGAGUGCAGAAGAGGAAAGUGGAAUUCCAUGUGUAGCGGUGAAAUGCGCAGAGAUAUGGAGGAACACCAGUGGCGAAGGCGACUUUCUGGUCUGUAACUGACGCUGAUGUGCGAAAGCGUGGGGAUCAAACAGGAUUAGAUACCCUGGUAGUCCACGCCGUAAACGAUGAGUGCUAAGUGUUAGGGGGUUUCCGCCCCUUAGUGCUGCAGCUAACGCAUUAAGCACUCCGCCUGGGGAGUACGACCGCAAGGUUGAAACUCAAAGGAAUUGACGGGGACCCGCACAAGCGGUGGAGCAUGUGGUUUAAUUCGAAGCAACGCGAAGAACCUUACCAAAUCUUGACAUCCUUUGACAACUCUAGAGAUAGAGCCUUCCCCUUCGGGGGACAAAGUGACAGGUGGUGCAUGGUUGUCGUCAGCUCGUGUCGUGAGAUGUUGGGUUAAGUCCCGCAACGAGCGCAACCCUUAAGCUUAGUUGCCAUCAUUAAGUUGGGCACUCUAAGUUGACUGCCGGUGACAAACCGGAGGAAGGUGGGGAUGACGUCAAAUCAUCAUGCCCCUUAUGAUUUGGGCUACACACGUGCUACAAUGGACAAUACAAAGGGCAGCGAAACCGCGAGGUCAAGCAAAUCCCAUAAAGUUGUUCUCAGUUCGGAUUGUAGUCUGCAACUCGACUACA